rnacentral:rRNA from 1 species
GAUAUCAAUGUGUUGCAACGCUCUCAUUUGUUUGCUAGGCUUGCUAGUGGUGAUGCUCCUGCUUGCAACUACACUAUCAAUGGGCAUGAAUACACAAAGGGGUACUAUCUUGCAGAUGGUAUAUAUCCUCCUUGGUGCACAUUUGUCAAGAGCAUCAAAGAACCCAAAACAAAAAAACAAUGUGAAUUUGCAAGGGUGCAAGAGGCAGCCCGAAAAGACAUUGAAAGAGCAUUCGGUGUUUUGCAAUCUAGGUUUGCCAUUGUCCGAGGUCCUGCUCGUUUUUGGGAUAAGAAAACCCUGAAGAACAUCAUGACUUGCUGUGUUAUCCUGCACAAUAUGAUUCUUGAAGAUGAGAGAGGAAUGGACUUAGAAUUCUUUUACGAUAAUGUGGGUAGCCGUGUCAAACCAGCUAGAGACCCAAACCGCAUUAGAGCUUUUCUUCAGACAUACAAGGAGAUUGAAAAUGCAGAUAAUUUUUGUACUCAUUUGUAUUUGUAUUCAUGA